rnacentral:rRNA from 1 species
ACGUAGGCAGCGAGCGUUGUUCGGAGUUACUGGGCGUAAAGGGUGUGUAGGCGGUUGUCUAAGUUUGGUGUGAAAUCUCCCGGCUCAACUGGGAGGGUGCGCCGAAUACUGAAUGACUUAGAGUGCGGGAGAGGAAAGUGGAAUUCCUGGUGUAGCGGUGAAAUGCGUAGAUAUCAGGAGGAACACCGGUGGUGUAGACGGCUUUCUGGACCGUAACUGACGCUGAGACACGAAAGCGUGGGUAGCAAACAGGAUUAGAUACCCUGGUAGUCCACGCCCUAAACGAUGCAUAUUUGGUGUGGGCAGUUCAUUCUGUCCGUGCCGGAGCUAACGCGUUAAAUAUGCCGCCUGGGGAGUACAGUCGCAAGGCUG